UCGCAACGGACGGGCCGCACUGGAUAUC
rnacentral:sRNA from 1 species